GACGAACGCUGGCGGCGUGCUUAACACAUGCAAGUCGAACGGUAAGGCUUCUUCUUUCCGCGGUUUUCGAGUGCCGAGCACGGGAGCCUCACGUGUGUGAUCUCCCCUUUACUUCGGGAGACACCUUUUAAACUGGGUUUCUUAUCCGACAUGACAACUUUAUACAUACUUUUUUGGUUUGAUUUUUGGUGUUGGAUCAGCUCGCGAGCUAUCCGCUUUUUGUUGGGUUAAUGGUCUACCAAGGCGUCAACGGGUAGCCGGUCUGAGAGCGUGUACGGCCACAUUGGGACUGAGAUAAGGCACAGACUCGUACGGGAGGCAGAAGUGGGGAAGAUUGCACAAUGGGCGCAAGCCUGAUGCAGCGACGCCGCGUGGGGGAUGACGGCGUUCGGGUUGUAAACUCCUGUCGCGAGGGACGAAGCGAUUUUGUGACGGUACCUGGAGAAGAAGCACCGGCUAACUACGUG
rnacentral:rRNA from 1 species